UCUCUUGCCUAAGCUGAAAACCUAGACACCACGAUUGGCUCCGCUUCCUCCUGUCUUCCCCAAUCCGCCGCAUUCUCUCCUCCUCCCAUUUUGCCCAACUCAGGUCGCCCAGGAGGUCGGAGCACAGUGGACCGCGCAUCGACCUCGCCGCUCCUCUUCCGAGCGUUGGAGAAGCAGCGACGCCGCACUCCUCUCGGAGGUGGCUAGAUGCAGGAGCCGCCGGCGGCAGGGAGGACGCCGCGGUUGGAAGCGGCGGCGGCCUGCAGCGCGCGCCGAGCGAUGGGACGCCUAGACGCGCCAGCGGCGAUGGAAGGCAGCGCUGAGCGACGGGGGCGGUUGGACGCGGCAGCAGUGGAGGCAUGGAGCGUGCCCGAGCGAGGAGUGGUCGUCGACGGCUGGUGCCCUGUGUACCCAUCGAUCUGAAGUAGUCUCCAUCCACAUGCUUCCAGGACUGCCUGCAGUACCUCUCAUCUUCCUUCCGAUCAAAAUUGUGCCAAUAGUGAGGGACUGCUCCUGGAAGGAAAACAGGACAGGAGUGGCAUGGGGCAUGGACGUCGCGUGGACAUCAUAGUGCCGUCCACAUGCGCACCACCAUGAGGUCCAUCUCUUGAUGCUGCUUUGGCGAGUCUCGUUAAUUCCGUGCUCGGUGCUGUUUCCUCUAAAAAAUGAUAAGGUAGUGUCGAUCCCGGUUCUGGGGAAUUGAUUUGGGCAACUUUUGAAGUUUGGUUCUAAAGAUAUUUUUGUGCAAGUGGCCAAUUGAUGUUACGCUUAUUUGAAAGCCAAGCCUGGUAUGUCUCGGCUCUUGUUUUCUAUUAUGCAUUUCUUCAGAAAAAUAUAUUACUCUCUGGGCUUGAUGAUUUGGGUAACAAGUGUUUAAUCUUCUAGAAUUUGGUACACAUUAAAUUUUAGUGUGUUCUCGAGUAGGCGAGUAGCUGCUUGUCUGUUAUUUACUUCUUAUUUUAGUUUAAAGUUUUUUAUGCUUCAUUUUCCUCGGUGAUGUGUAAGAAGUUUAAUUUAUGCUAGAAGCUGUAUAUGAGUCCCUGCACAUCCAUUCUAAUUAAGAAAAGAAUAUUUACACUCCACUAUGUAUGCAUGAACUACUAUUAGAGAGCUCUUAUUGCCAAACAGGUCCAGCAAUGUAUACCAAGUGCACACCACUUGGUAUGCCAGCUAAUUUGUUGCUUUUAGGAUGUAACAUGUGCUGUAGGUGGCUUAAUACAGAUACAAAUAAUAUGUUCUUUUUUACUCAUGAACAACAAGUACUCAGUUUUUCAGUGUACCUGCAACCCAGUUCGGCAGCAACAAGAGCACAUGGUAUUUUCUCUGUCAGUAUAUCACAAUUUAAUUAUGUUUAUAGGUGUGCCUGCACUGCAAUAAUCAGAGCCGGAAUCAGUUAGGUGGUGUCAGUUCUUGAUUGUGUAUGACUGAUUAUGCCAAGGUCUUUAAUCUACCUUUUGUUCGCUCGAUAGAGGUUUCCUAGGAUACUCAAUCUCUGCAUGUCUUACACAUGUCGGCCAACUUUGUGUUCGCCGAUGACCGUUACCUCCGCGACAUUAGCUAAUUUUUCCAGCGCACAGAUUUUAGUAGACAAAAUGAAUGUUGGUAUGAACGAUUUUUCAGACCAGAAAACACCUAAGAGCCC